rnacentral:pre_miRNA from 1 species
AAAAAGGCAAACCCUGGGUUUGCGUGUCCAACUUUGACUGUCCGUCUUAUAUGAAUUUUUUUUAUAAUUCGUAUUUUCAUUGUUGUUAGAUGAUAAAACAUGAUUAAUAUUUUAUGCGUGACUUGUCUUUUUAUUUUUUUUCAUAAUUUUUUUAAAUAAGACGAACGGUCAAACGUUGGGCACGGAAACCAGGGUUUGUCUUUUU